GGGACUGGGAAGAUAAGCGUCAGUGUUGUGUACAUUAAUUGUAGAUUGGAGUUGAACUAGCCGCUAACCAGCUUGCACUUCCAUCUUGAGUGAACAGGUGGCUAACCGCAUAGAUUGGGGACUUCAUUAUUGCAACUCUACCUAGAGAACCAAUGUCCUCUAGUAUUACAGGGAGAUUGCCUAGCUUGGAGGAGCUAGAGUCCUAUGCCCUUGAGCAAUGGGAGGUUCUCUCUCUGUCCCUCCCUGUACUUUUCUUAUAUAUUACUUGCAAAGGAUGUCACUAUUUCCAAUGGUUUUGCAUCUUAUUCUCUAUUCCAAGUUAUAUGGUUUGGACCAUCUGCUUCAUAUUUUAUGUUCCUAAGGAUAAUAGUGUUCUUUCACCUUGGGGUAGACCAGUGUUUCUUGUUGCAACUCAUAAGCUCAGCUCAAGCAGAGAGGUUAACGAA